AUUGAACGCUGGCGGCAUGCCUUACACAUGCAAGUCGAACGGUAACGCGGGGCAACCUGGCGACGAGUGGCGAACGGGUGAGUAACGCAUCGGAACGUGCCCAGUAGUGGGGGAUAGCCCGGCGAAAGCCGGAUUAAUACCGCAUACGACCUAAGGGUGAAAGCGGGGGAGUCGCAAGACCUUGCGCUAUUGGAGCGGCCGAUGUCAGAUUAGGUAGUUGGUGGGGUAAAGGGCCUACCAAGCCUGCGAUCUGUAGCUGGUCUGAGAGGGCGACCAGCCACAUUGGGACUGAGACACGGCCCAGACUCCUACGGGAGGGCAGCAGUGGGGGAAGUUUUGGUACAAUAGGGGGAAACCCGGUACGAUCCA
rnacentral:rRNA from 1 species